rnacentral:rRNA from 1 species
AGGGAGCAAGACUAACAGGAUUCCCCUAGUAACUGCGAGUGAAGCGGGAAAAGCUCAAAUUUAAAAUCUGGCGGUCCUUGGCCGUCCGAGUUGUAAUCUAGAGAAGUGUUACCCGCGCUGGACCGUGUACAAGUCUCCUGGAAUGGAGCGUCAUAGAGGGUGAGAAUCCCGUCUCUGACACGGACUACCAGGGCUUUGUGGUAUGCUCUCAAAGAGUCGAGUUGUUUGGGAAUGCAGCUCAAAAUGGGUGGUAAAUUCCAUCUAAAGCUAAAUAUUGGCGAGAGACCGAUAGCGAACAAGUACCGUGAGGGAAAGAUGAAAAGAACUUUGGAAAGAGAGUUAAACAGUACGUGAAAUUGCUGAAAGGGAAACGCUUGAAGUCAGUCGCGUUGGCCGGGGAUCAGCCUUGCUUUUGCAUGGUGUACUUUCCGGUCGACGGGUCAGCAUCAAUUUUGACCGCUGGAAAAAGGCUUGGGGAAUGUGGCAGCUCCGGCUGUGUUAUAGCCCUUUGUCAUAUACAGCGGUUGGGAUUGAGGAACUCAGCACGCCGCAAGGCCGGGGUAAAACCACGUUCGUGCUUAGGAUGCUGGCAUAAUGGCUUUAAGCGACCCGUCUUGAAACACGGACCAAGGAGUCUAACAUGCCUGCGAGUGUUUGGGUGGAAAACCCGAGCGCGUAAUGAAAGUGAAAGUUGAGAUCCCUGUCGUGGGGAGCAUCGACGCCCGGACCAGAACUUUUGGGACGGAUCCGCGGUAGAGCAUGUAUGUUGGGACCCGAAAGAUGGUGAACUAUGCCUGAAUAGGGUGAAGCCAGAGGAAACUCUGGUGGAGGCUCGUAGCGAUUCUGACGUGCAAAUCGAUCGUCAAAUUUGGGUAUAGGGGCGAAAGACUAAUCGAACCAUCUAGUAGCUGGUUCCUGCCGAAUUUCCCUUCAGAGAAA